rnacentral:rRNA from 1 species
AGUUGGGGGCAUCAGUAUUCCGAAGCGAGAGGUGAAAUUCUUGGACCUUCGGAAGACUAACAACUGCGAAAGCAUUUGCCUAGGAUGUUCUCUUUAAUCAAGAACGAAAGUUGGGGGAUCGAAGACGAUCAGAUACCGUCGUAGUCUCAACUAUAAACUAUGCCAGCUAGGGAUUGGUGGACGUUUAUCUACGACUCCAUCAGCACCUUAUGAGAAAUCAGAGCAUUUGGGUUCCGGGGGGAGUAUGGUCGCAAGGCUGAAACUUAAAGGAAUUGACGGGAGGGCACCACCAGGAGUGGAGCCUGUGGCUUAAUUUGACUCAACACGGGA